rnacentral:rRNA from 1 species
AACGAACGCUGGCGGCAUGCCUAACACAUGCAAGUCGAACGAGAAAGCUCUUCGGAGUGAGUAGAGUGGCGCACGGGUGAGUAACACGUAGGUGACCUACCAUACAGGUGGGGGAUAACCAGGAGAAAUUCUGGCUAAUACCGCAUACGCAGUACAAAUUUGAAAGUAGUACUGGAAAGGAUGCUUCGGCAUUCACUGAAUGAUGGGCCUGCGUAGCAUUAGUUUGUUGGUGAGGUAACGGCUUACCAAGACUACGAUGCUUAGCUGGUCUGAGAGGAUGAUCAGCCACACUGGAACUGAGACACGGUCCAG